UAUGUAGGGGGCAAGCGUUGUCCGGAAUUAUUGGGCGUAAAGAGCGUGUAGGCGGUCCGGUAAGUCAGCUGUGAAAGUCAAGGGCUCAACCCUUGAAUGCCGGUUGAUACUGUCGGGCUAGAGUCCGGAAGAGGCGAGUGGAAUUCCCGGUGUAGCGGUGAAAUGCGCAGAUAUCGGGAGGAACACCAAUGGCGAAGGCAGCUCGCUGGGACGGUACUGACGCUGAGACGCGAAAGCGUGGGGAGCAAACAGG
rnacentral:rRNA from 1 species